UGUCAGGAGCGAGGGCGGCGCUCUGAUUGGCCACCGCGACCGGGGGCAGGACAAGUUCUGGGGCCUUCGCCGGCCGCCCCCGCCCCGGCGCGGCACUUUCAGUUUUGCCUCCCCCUUCAGCCCCGGCCCCGGCGGGCACCCGGGAGGCCGGGCCCUCGCGCGCCGCCCGCGCCCCAACCCCGGGCUCUGACCGCUCUCCGGCCGCCCGCGCCCUGCGCUCAGCCGACCUGGCUUUGUCUGCUCCGUAACUGGAACUCGGGCCCCGCUGGGCUGUGGGGUCUCUCCCGCGGUGCGAGGGGCACGGGAGGCGAGUCUUACCCUAGAUGCGCUCCCAGGAGCAGAGGAGUUGAGCACAGGACCCUGAUUGGCUGGACUUCCACCAUGGGACUGGGGGGCUGAUGGCCCUGAGAGUGGGGGGUUCCCACCGGAAGACACGCCAGGCACAUGAACAAGAAACUGAAAUCCAGGCUUGGGGACUGAAGCUUCACAUCACACUUGGAUGCACCGCAGCGUCUUAGAAAGGCGGGCAGCGGGGGUGGUGCCAGGGCGUGCGGACUGCGACUCUCUGUAGGCUGCCUAAGUAAUGUGCGGGGAGCCUUGGUGACCACGCAUGCCCUGACCCCUCAUAAAGUCCCUGCCCCGUUGUGGCCCGGUUGUAAACUUCCCUGAAAAGGUCAUGUGAAUUUAUCGUCCCCAGUGCUUUAUAAUUAGAAAUUAUGGUCUCUCUUCUGCACGACACUU
rnacentral:lncRNA from 1 species